GACGAACGCUGGCGGCGCGCCUAACACAUGCAAGUCGAACGAGCGAGAGAGAGCUUGCUUUCUCGAGCGAGUGGCGAACGGGUGAGUAACGCGUGAGGAACCUGCCUCAAAGAGGGGGACAACAGUUGGAAACGACUGCUAAUACCGCAUAAGCCCACGACCCGGCAUCGGGUAGAGGGAAAAGGAGCAAUCCGCUUUGAGAUGGCCUCGCGUCCGAUUAGCUAGUUGGUGAGGUAACGGCCCACCAAGGCGACGACCGGUAGCCGGACUGAGAGGUUGAACGGCCACAUUGGGACUGAGACACGGCCCAGACUCCUACGGGAGGCAGGAGUGGGGGAUAUUGCACAAUGGCGGAAACGCUGAUGCAGCGACGCCGCGUGGAGGAAGAAGGUCUUCGGAUUGUAAACUCCUGUUGUUGAGGAAGAUAAUGACGGUACUCAACAAGGAAGUGACGGCUAACUACGUG
rnacentral:rRNA from 1 species